rnacentral:tRNA from 1 species
GGACAGGUGCGUGAGCGGUUGAAACGGCCGGUCUCGAAAACCGGUGUGCCCGCAAGGGUACCGUGGGUUCGAAUCCCACCCUGUCCGUCA